UACGAAGGGGGCGAGCGUUGUUCGGAUUUACUGGGCGUAAAGGGCGCGCAGGCGGCUAUCCAAGUCAGGCGUGAAAGCCCCGGGCUUAACCUGGGAGGUGCGUCUGGGACUGGGUGGCUAGAGUUCGGGAGAGGAGAGUGGAAUUCCCAGUGUAGAGGUGAAAUUCGUAGAUAUUGGGAAGAGCACCGGUGGCGGAAGGCGGCUCUCUGGGACGGUACUGACGCUGAGACGCGAAAGCGUGGGGAGGCGAAACAGGG
rnacentral:rRNA from 1 species